rnacentral:snoRNA from 15 species
UUGCAUGUGGAAAUGUCUGCUCCUCAUUCUUUUAGGAGCAGGAAUAUAGCCAUAACAUGCUACAUUAAAAUAGGAGUUCUCAGGGCUGCCAAUCUUGCAGAAGAGGUUGAGUGAUAGUAUAUUUCUCUUACAUUA